AGUUGAAGAUGAUUUACCUGAAAAUAUUGACAAUAAGAUCGCAAAAGUAGAUCCAGUAACUUGCAAGUCUGUGACUCCUGAACCUCUUCACACACAAAGGCGAUGUCUGGACUUUGAUUUGGGAGAAGAGUCUACUGUUAUUAAUGAUUACAUAGACCCCUGUACUCAGUAUUCUCCUAAGCAUGUGGAAGUUCAGACAGAACCUGAAUGUGAAUACCCCAAUAGUGAUGACCAAUUCAAGACAGAAAAUCUUUCUGAACAAAUGGUGGAUAAUAAUGAUACUGACAUUGAGCAAGAACUAAAUUGUUGGGACAGUGAGUUGCAGAAUCUGUUGGAUUCACAACAGAUAGUGGAAGGGCUAUCUUUGUGUGAUGAGCUCCUUCAAAGCCAAUCUCCUAACAGGUAUGGAAAUGGAAAUGAAAGAGCUAAAGGGAAACCAUGCCUCUCUGAUUAUGCCCAGUUAGGACCAGAUGAUUUAAAGAAGGAUCUAGAGGAGUGUCAAAAAUUGGAACUUGAUCCAGCUAACAUAGAACUUGAUACACCUCCAGAGUUCAGACUAAGUCAACUUGAAUUUGGAUCACAGGAAAGCUUUCUUGCAUGGGGUGGUGGUAGCAAGCUAUUAGACUAAGUAUAUGGUUUGGCUAGCUUCAACCCUCAUCAUGGCAGAAAACAUCAUUUUGUGCACCUAUAAUUUUGGAUGCUUGGCCUGUUUGGUUGGGUUUUGGAACUCUAUUAUUUUGCUGAAUGACUCUAUCUGUAAUUUGUAGUGUGAAUUACUGGUUCUUACAACCUGAGCUGUAAUUAUGCACAUGUCAUGCUAAUGCCAGAUAAUAGAUCAAAUUAUGGUCUAUUUCUGUCUUUAGAGGGCUUCAAGCAAAAGUUUAGGAGUCUUUUGACAUAUUCUGUUGUACUCAUGGUUCCACAAUGCAAUGCUAAUGGAUGUCAAGUGCAUAUCGUUUGAAACUUUUGUGGCAAGUUAAAUUCUUCGGAAUUGGAAAACAUUUUUAGGAACUUG
rnacentral:misc_RNA from 1 species